AACGAACGCUGGCGGCAGGCUUAACACAUGCAAGUCGAACGAGAGGAAGGAAAGCUUGCUUUUCUGAAUCUAGUGGCGAACGGGUGAGUAACACGUAGGUAACCUGCCCAUGUGCCCGGGAUAACUUCUGGAAACGGAUGCUAAAACCAGAUAGGUAGCAGACAAGCAUUUGACUGCUAUUAAAGUGGCUAAGGCCAUGAACAUGGAUGGACCUGCGGUGCAUUAGCUAGUUGGUGAGGUAACGGCCCACCAAGGCGACGAUGCAUAGCCGGCCUGAGAGGGCGGACGGCCACAUUGGGACUGAGACACGGCCCAAACUCCUACGGGAGGCAGCAGUAGGGAAUUUUCGUCAAUGGGGGGAACCCUGAACGAGCAAUGCCGCGUGAGUGAGGAAGGUCUUCGGAUCGUAAAGCUCUGUUGUAAGAGAAAAACGACAUUCAUAGGGAAUGAUGAGUGAGUGAUGGUAUCUUACCAGAAAGUCACGGCUAACUACGUGCCAGCAGCCGCAGUAA
rnacentral:rRNA from 1 species